rnacentral:tRNA from 2 species
GCGGGUAUGGUGAAAUUGGCAGACAUACCAGACUUAGGAUCUGGCGCCGCAAGGCAUGGGGGUUCAAGUCCCUCUACCCGCACCA